CAAGCUACUGACGUGAAGCAGGAUUCAAUUCCGGACAAAUUAGCCCGCUGUGUUUCGAAAAUCGCCAAAUUUCGACGAAAUAGGCUAUAUUUUAGGCUGUAUCCUACACUAUAAAAAAGCGGGCUCCUUUUAAGCUUUCGAUCACGAUGCAUAAUUGCACAUUGCAUAUGCAAUGCAUCAAUGAUCUCACGGAGAUUAUAACGGCAAACUGUUGCUUCUACCCCCACCAUGAGAGAAAUACCAAUCAUGAUUAAAGAAUGCUAUUCAUUUUUAAAACCCCUCUACGAUAUUCAGUUCACUAUCUGUAUCUACUUUUACUUACACACAUAGGUAUUUUUUUUAUUUAUUACACAUUUUUUUAUAAAUAUAACCCAAUACCUGAGACUGAUACUCCAGCAGGUAAAUAUUUCGCGAAUCGGUGAGAAAAAAAUCAAUUUCUCUUUUCGUAAAAAAAAAUAAUGUGGAAAUAAAAUUGUACGCUCAGAUGUGUUUCAGUUUUCAUGCGAUUUUCAAAUAAAUUAUUUUCGGUUUCAAUAUUGCAAAGAUCUCAGUAAAACCAUGUCAAAUUUUAAACACUUUCCAUUGUUAUUAUUCAUCUCGUUAUCUUGUAUCAGCCUGGCUUUAGCAUUUGUUAAGGGAGAUAAAUACGAUGAAAGUACUUUUUCAAAAAUUAACGGCAAUAAAGAAAAAAGUAAUAGCGGAGUUCCGAAAGAAUUAUCAAAAAAAUCACCGUUCAGGUUAUCAGCCGUGGGAAUAAUUAUGCUAAUUUUAACCAUAAUUUUAAGCGGUAUAUUUAUUUAUUACUUCUUUUUAUUUUACCCAAUUUUAUGCCGAAAAGAAAGAAAUUACGAUGUAGUUGAACAUUCAAGAGACACUACCCCGACACCCUUGCCUACCCCAAAUCCGGAAAACGCGCUGUAAACUUUCAUUUAUCUUUAGCACUUUAUGCAACUUGCCUGCAAAAUCUGGUUCCUAUGAUUUACUUUUUUUUAAAAACUGCUUUUUUUUUAAAGUUUACGCUUUUGUUUAUGUAUUGCCUAAGAUUAUGAUUUUUUUUAUGAAAGAAAAUUUUCUCCUCAACUUUUAUUGAAUUCCUGUAGGUUAUCGAUAAGCUUUCAUUUUGAUUAAUUUAUAUGCUCGAUUAUUGUAAUUAUGUAAGUUUGCUGAAAAUGCAUGUAGGCACGUAAUUUUGUAUUGUUUCCAUGCUUCUUUUUUUUUCUUUGGAGACUGCUUUUCGAUUAUUUCAAAGUUUUGCAAUCAUGACGUCCUUGCUCUCAAUAAAUUAUUUGAUUUUUCUAA